rnacentral:rRNA from 1 species
AACGAACGCUGGCGGCAUGCCUAACACAUGCAAGUCGAACGAGACCUUCGGGUCUAGUGGCGCACGGGUGCGUAACGCGUGGGAACCUGCCCUUAGGUUCGGAAUAACUCCCCGAAAGGGGUGCUAAUACCGGAUAAUGUCUUCGGACCAAAGAUUUUUCGCCUUUGGAUGGGCCCGCGUUGGAUUAGCUAGUUGGUAGGGUAAAAGCCUACCAAGGCGACGAUCCAUAGCUGGUCUGAGAGGAUGAUCAGCCACACUGGGACUGAGACACGGCCCAGACUCCUACGGGAGGCAGCAGUGGGGAAUAUUGGACAAUGGGCGAAAGCCUGAUCCAGCAAUGCCGCGUGAGUGAUGAAGGCCUUAGGGUUGUAAAGCUCUUUUACCCGGGAUGAUAAUGACAGUACCGGGAGAAUAAGCACCGGCUAACUCCGUG